rnacentral:lncRNA from 1 species
CAACACUGUAGCUGCUGAGGCUCGCUAGACCCUCUAACUACUAUCUAUCACUGCUUAUCCACGCAGGACAAGGAAAGCCAAAGGAAGAGCAUUAACAAAUCCUAACACUGAAGAAUUUGGGGCCCCAGGGUUUGCACGCAGAGGCCAACUUCAGUGUGUACACUACAGCCAAACCGGGUGUGCUCGGAGCUCCUCCUGAAUUAAAGUCCACCGACUGUCUUCCAACCAGAUUUGAGGCAUAAUACCCUCAAGUUCUAGCCAUGUCAUCACAAGUGGCUGGAUUUCAUCAUUUCUUAUGGCUGAGUAGUAUUCUACUUGUUUAUAUACCACAUCUUCUUUACCCAUUCAUCCCUUGAUGGGCACCUAGGUUGCUUCCAUGACUUGCUUCAUCUUUUGAAAGUGAGUAAAUGGACAGUCCACAGCUCUGUCACUUGCCCUUCCCCUUCUGGCAUUUCUUGUUACCUAGGAGCCUGUCAUACUACCCACUGCCCUGCUCCCAUCCCCACUCUCUCCGCCACCACAGCCACACCUUGCUUCAUGCCCUCAUUAUUUUUUGUCUAAAUUAUCGCUUUUUCCAGACUGGUUCACUUGCUUCUGCUUUCACCCUCCUCUCGUCUGCCCUCCUAAUUGCCCUCAGAGUGAUGGGUGUGAGUAAAU